rnacentral:rRNA from 1 species
ACUCCUACGGGAGGCAGCAGUGGGGAAUAUUGCACAAUGGGGGAAACCCUGAUGCAGCCAUGCCGCGUGUGUGAAGAAGGGCUUCGGGUUGUAAAGCACUUUCAGUAGGGAGGAAGGUAUGUAGUUAACAUACCUGCACNAUUUUGACUGUUACCUACAGAAGAGCACCGGCUAACUCCGGUGCCAGCAGCCGCGGUAAUACGGAGGGUGCGAGCGUUAAUCGGAAUUACUGGGCGUAAAGCGCAUGCAGGCGGCCUGUUAAGUCAGAUGUGAAAGCCCGGGGCUUAACCUCGGAAUUGCAUUUG